AUUGAACGCUGGCGGCAUGCCUUACACAUGCAAGUCGAACGGUAACGGGUCCUUCGGGAUGCCGACGAGUGGCGAACGGGUGAGUAAUAUAUCGGAACGUGCCCAGUAGUGGGGGAUAACUGCUCGAAAGAGCAGCUAAUACCGCAUACGACCUGAGGGGGAAAGGGGGGGAUCGCACAACCUCUCGUUAUUUGGCCGGACGAUAUCGGAUCAGCUAGUUGGUGGGGUAAAGGCCUCCCAAGGCAACGAUCUGUGGUUGGUCUGAGAUGACGCCCAGCCACACUGGGACUGAGACACGGCCCAGACUCCUACGGGAGGCAGCAGUGGGGAAUUUUGGACAAUGGGCGCAAGCCUGAUCCAGCGAUGCCGCGUGCAGGAAGAAGGCCUUCGGGUUGUAAACUGCUUUUGUCAGGGAAGAAAUCUUCUGGGCUAAUACCCCGGGAGGAUGACGGUACCUGAAGAAUAAGCACCGGCUAACUACGUGCCAGCCGCCGCCGUAACAC
rnacentral:rRNA from 1 species